GUCUACGGCCAUCCCACCCUGAAUGCGCCUGAUCUCGUCUGAUCUCGGAAGCUAAGCAGGGUCGAGGCCUGGUUAGUACUUGGAUGGGAAGUAUGGUGGCACCUGCUUGUAAUCCCAGCACUCCGGCUGAGGAGGAUC
rnacentral:rRNA from 1 species